rnacentral:rRNA from 1 species
CCUACGGGAUGCAGCAGUGAGGAAUAUUGGUCAAUGGACGAGAGUCUGAACCAGCCAAGUAGCGUGAAGGAUGACUGCACUAUGGAUUGUAAACUUCUUUUAUAUGGGAAUAAAAUGUUCCACGUGUGGGCUUUUGUAUGUACCAUAUGAAUAAGGAUCGGCUAACUCCGUGCCAGCAGCCGCGGUAAUACGGAGGAUCCGAGCGUUAUCCGGAUUUAUUGGGUUUAAAGGGAGCGUAGGUGGAUUGGUAAGUCAGUUGUGAAAGUUUGCGGCUCAACCGUAAAAUUGCAGUUGAAACUGGCAGUCUUGAGUACAGGAGAGGUGGGCGGAAUUCGUGGUGUAGCGGUGAAAUGCUUAGAUAUCACGAAGAACUCCGAUUGCGAAGGCAGCUCACUGGACUGCAACUGACACUGAGGCUCGAAAGUGUGGGUAUCAAACAGGAUUAGAUACCCUGGUAGUC